UCAUCAAGAGUGCAAAAUGGUGGCAAUUCACUAUUAGUGGUUAUUAAUUUUGUUUGCGUGGCUUGGCCUUGUCUACAGGUUAUCUUCGGAUGGCUUGUAGCUUUGUUGAACGCGUGGGCUUAAUGUUGUGAUUCUAGUAGCGUUACCAUAUCGUUAGAGUGGGUUCAAUAAAUGUCCCGUCUUGAAACACGGAUCAAGGAGGCCGUUUUGUGUGCGAGUGUAAGAGUAAUUAAAACUCUGACGCGUAUUGAAAGAAAGAAUACUCCAAAAGAUCGUAACUACGGUUACCUUCUGUAAGGAGUGCCCGAAUCAUGAGAACUCUGUUUCGAAAGGAUUUGCGGUUGAGCACCUAGAAUGGGACCCGAAAGGUUGUGAACUAUGCCUGAGGAAGGCGAAGUCAGGGGAAACUCUGAUGGAGGCUUGUCGCAAUGCUGACGUGCAAAUCGCUUGUCUAACUUGGGUAUAGGGGCGAAAGACUAAUCGAACAACCUAGUAGCUGGUUCCUUCCGAAGUUUCCCUCAGGAUAGCUGGAGCAGUAUUCUAGUUCCAUCUUGUAAAGACAAUGAUUAGCAGUUUCGGGGGCGUAAUGCUCUCAGCUGAUUCUCAAACUCUGAACGGGUGGGUAUCAUUUUAAUUCACUUAAUUGGAUUUUAAAAUUAAAUUGCACAUGUGCAAUGAAAAAUAGGAGCUCUUAGUGGGCCAUUUUUGGUAAGCAGAACUGGCGAUGU
rnacentral:rRNA from 1 species